GUGGGAGCGGAUGUGGGGUUGUGGGCCGUGUUGAGGGGUGCGCGGUUGUGGAAGUGUGGUGUGAGCUCCUUUCCUUCCUCAGGAAGGAGCAGGGGGCCGCGUCGUGAGCCCGUACUCCCGCCAAGGUCCCGGUAGCCGUGUGCUGAAGUGCUUGCAAUGAAGACAAGGCUGAGGGAGCUAUAGUUAUUUAGCUUGAAGAAGGGAAGGCUGUGGGGAGGCCUCGUUGUGGCCUUCGGGUGCCUAAAGGAAGCUACUAAGCUCGAGGAGAGUGACUUUUCACUCAGGCAGGUAGUGCUAGGACAAGAGGGAAUGGUUUUCAACUAAAAGAGGGGAGGUUUGGGUUAGGUGUAAGCAGAAAAUUCGUUUCUCACAGGAUGGUGAGGUGGUGGCACUGCUGUCCAGAGAGCUGUGGGUGUCCCAUCCCUGCAGGCACUCAAGGCCAGGACCUUGCCCUUAGUGUAUGAGUGGUGGCUGCUGUUGGCUUAGCUGCAUGAGCAAGUUCCUGCGGCUUCAGGUUGCUACUUUGAGAGCUGAGCUGCAAGCAGUAGCAUGAGAUAACUUUUCAGUGUGACUACAAAUAGCUGUUGUGAAGCCAGGCAUCCAGGAUGGAGGAUAGUUGAGUUGUUUGUUUUUUAAUAAUAAAAGGAAAAAAAAAAAAACCCACAGCAUUGAUUGGAGAAC
rnacentral:lncRNA from 1 species